rnacentral:rRNA from 1 species
CAGCAGUGAGGAAGGUGGGUAUGUUAAUAGCAUAUCAUUUGACGUUAGCUGCAGAAGAAGCACCGGCUAACUCCGUGCCAGCAGCCGCGGUAAUACGGAGGGUGCGAGCGUUAAUCGGAAUUUACUGGGCGUUAAAGCGCAUGCAGGUGGUUUGUUAAGUCUAGAUGUGAAAGCCCGGGGCGUCAACCUCGGAAUUGCAUUUGAAACUGGCAAACUAGAGUACUGUAGAGGGGGUAGGAAUUUCAGGUGUAGCGGUGAAAUAGCGUAGAGAUCUGAAGGAAUACCGGUGGCGAAGGCGGCCCCCUCGGACAGAUACUGACACUCAGAUGCGAAAGACGUGGGGAGCAAACAGGAUUAGAUACCCUCGGUAG